UGUUGUAGAAGAGAAGCAUUUAUUAGAUAUAAAACCAAUAAAUGUUUUUAAAACAUAAAAAUUGGCGAUUUACAAUAACUAAGCAAAUCGCACAGUGCAAACUGGCGAUAAAUCAUUCAAGUUUCUGACCUAUCAGCUUUCGACGGUAUGGUAUUGGCUUACCGUGGCAGUGACGGUUAACGGGGGAUUAGGGUUCGAUUCCGGAGAGGGAGCCUGAGAAACGGCUACCACAUCUAAGGAAGGCAGCAGGCGCGCAAAUUACCCAAUUCUAACAGCAUAAGAGAGGUAGUGACAAGAAAUAACAGUACAAGGCAGUUAAAAUGCUUUGUAAUUAGAAUGAUAGAAAUUUAAAUACUUUUUAAAGUAUCAAUUGGAGGGCAAGUCUGGUGCCAGCAGCCGCGGUAAUUCCAGCUCCAAUAGCGUAUAUUAAAAUUGUUGCAGCUAAAAAGCUCGUAGUUGAAUUUCUGCUAAAAAUAACCGGUUUGCUUUUAUUAGUAAAAGUGGUAUCUUGGUGUGUUUCUAGCAAUAAUGUCCUUUGAAAUGUUUUUUACUUUAUUGUAAGAAACAAAAUUCAGGAUUUUUACUUUGAGAAAAUUAGAGUGUUUCAAGCAGGCUAACGUUUUGAAUA
rnacentral:rRNA from 1 species